AUAGUAGGUAAUAAUAUUGGCAGGGGUCGAUUUUCAUUUUGAAAAAUCCAGCAAAUGAAGUGCACGCAUCCCUGGGCCAUAGCAUUAUCAAAUAAUGCAUACAAGGCGCUUUAAUUAAAUAGUUCAAUCACAAUUACGAGAUCAAUUAAUAUUAAUUAUCGAAUUUUGACUGCAUAUAAUAGCGCCAAACGUAUAUUAGAUUUCGGCACGUUUGUGUACGUGCUUCCUGGUAGAACAUCAAGGAAACUGUUAUGGAAAUAGGCUGCCGGUAGCCAAGAAAAAUGAAAUCCAUCAACGUCGCUUCCGACCACACCGAAAACACCAAUGAUCACGUCACAGUCAAAAAGUUGCAAGAAACUGAUGUGAAACUUUUUAAUCUACAAUGGAUUUUUCUUCAAAUCACAGGGGAUAGAAAAAAUCAUCAAACAAUGUCGUGAAGAGAAAAGGUUUUGAUAAAUAUUAAUGUGUCCGUCCUUUUUGUUAGGCUGGGUAACAAUUAUUUCAUUUUUAUAAUGAAUUCUAACUAUGUAUGUGUGAAAUUUCAACCAGUACAAUCUAAGGGAAAAACUUUGAAUAAAUAGCACAUUCACAAA